GACGAACGCUGGCGGCGUGCUUAACACAUGCAAGUGGAGCGACGAACCGGGCUUCGGCCCGGGGCAAAGCCGCGAACGGGUGAGUAUCACGUGGGUAACCUGCCCCAAUGACCGGGAAAACCCGAGGAAACUCGACCUAAUACCGGAUCUGCUCGCCGCACAUCAGUGCGGUGAGGAAAGGAAUCUUCGGCCUCCGCAUUGGGAUGGGCCCGCGGCCCAUUAGCUUGUUGGUGAGGUAAUGGCCCACCAAGGCUGCGAUGGGUAGCUGGUCUGAGAGGACGAUCAGCCACACUGGGACUGAGACACGGCCCAGACUCCUACGGGAGGCAGCAGUGGGGAAUCUUGCGCAAUGCGCGAAAGCGUGACGCAGCAACGCCGCGUGAGGGAAGAAGGCCUUCGGGUUGUAAACCUCUUUCAGGAGGGACGAAGGUUCAGGCGCGAAUAGCGUCCUGGACUGACGGUACCUCCAGAAGAAGGCCCGGCUAACUACGUGCCAGCAGCCGCCGUAACAC
rnacentral:rRNA from 1 species